rnacentral:rRNA from 1 species
GACGAACGCUGGCGGCGUGCUUAACACAUGCAAGUCGAACGGAAAGGCCCUUCUUUUGUGGGGUUCUCGAGUGGCGAACGGGUGAGUAACACAUGAGUAACCUUCCCUUGACGUUGGGAUAACUUCAGGAAACUGGGGCUAAUACCGGAUAGGAGCUCCUGCUGCAUGGUGGGGGUUGGAAAGUUUCGGCGGUUGGGGAUGGACUCGCGGCUUAUCAGCUUGUUGGUGGGGUAGUGGCUUACCAAGGCUGUGACGGGUAGCCGGCAUGAGAGGGUGACCGGCCACAUUGGGACUGAGAGAGGGACCAGAGUCCUACGGGAGGCAGCAGUGGGGAAUAUUGCACAACGGGCGGAAGCCUGAUGAAGCAACGCCGCGUGCGGGAUGAAGGCCUUCGGGGUGUAAACCGCUUUCGCCUGUGACGAAGCGUGAGUGACGGUAACGGGUAAAGAAGCACCGGCUAACUACGUG